rnacentral:rRNA from 1 species
ACGGAGGGGGCGAGCGUUAUUCAUCAUGAUUGGGCGUAAAGGGUAUGUAGAUGGUAGAAAAUCAUUAUUAAAAACGACAAAAAAAAAUUUGUUAUUUGAUUUUUGAUUGAUCUAUUUGAAAGCUUUGAAGUUAAUAGAAUUACUAAUGUAAAGGUAAAAUUUAACGAGAUUAGUAGGAAUACCAACGGCGAAAGCAAUUUUCUUUAAACUUUGACAUUGAUGUACUAAAGCUCGGGUAUCAAACGGGA